rnacentral:rRNA from 1 species
AGUCACUGACAUUAGAUACCCGUGUAGUCCCAGCCGUAAACUAUGCGCGUUAGGCGUACUGGUGACCACGAGUCACCGGGGUGCCGAAGGGAAACCGUGAAACGUGCCGCCUGGGAAGUACGGUCGCAAGGCUGAAACUUAAAGGAAUUGGCGGGGGAGCACCGCAACGGGAGGAGCGUGCGGUUUAAUUGGAUUCAACACCGUAAAACUCACCAGGGAAGACUGUUACAUGAAGGCCGAGAUGAAGACUCUGCCAGAUUUUCAG